GUCCUGCUGACCGCUACUUCUUUUUCUGUUUUUCCCCUUUGUCGUCUUCUUCUUCUUCUUCUUCUUCUUCUUCUUCAGGGGGCACCUCGGAAAAAAACGUGGCCGCAGCUUCUGCACCACCAGCCACGGGAUGUCAAAUGAAACAAACGGAGAGGAGAGAAAGCGGAUCGGAUGCUCGUGUGGUCUCAGCAGCGAUAAUAACGGUGACGGCAGCCUCUAACUGAGAUGACAUUGAGCUCCCUUUACGCGCCAGCUUUUCCAACCGGCGGUUCCCUCCUCCUCUUCCUCCUCCUCUUCCUCUCCCCCUUCUCUCUCUCUCUCUCCCUCGCUCUCUUUUUUUUCUAGGCACGCGCGCUGAAUAAUGCAGGGCUCGCGAGGUCCCGGGAGUCUUUUCUGUCCCGUUCCAGAGACAAUCGGAGAGCGAGCAGCCAGAGCGAGCUGCAGCCAGGCACAAUGAGGCCGACCCGCGCGGAUCAGCUCGAACCCCCCCCACCACCACCACGCCGCUCUCAAAUGUGCUCAGGUGGCGUUUUCAGGGAAACAAAAGCAAACUCCGAACUCUCCAGAACAGGCUAUGUUGUACCUACUAUUGAUACCAGGGGGGCGCCUCAGGGUUCCUGCAAAACAAGGGCAUGGGAGCUCCUAGACUGAUCCAACCAUCUGUUUAUCUACUGAAAUGGAUUUUACUUGUGCUUCCUGUGUGCUGCAUGAGGUCUUGCCAUAAUGGACAAUAAGCAAGAUUUGUGACCGGAGGAGGAUGCAGUGUUACUAUCUCUGUGGCAAUCCUGAAAGAGACCAGUGAUGUCACUGUCCCACCCUGUCAACCAACCACAGGACAGUUGCCAUGGAUACAACUGGGUGGGCAGCAACUGCUUUCCACAUCAUACAGUAGGAGGAGGAAGAGCAGACAUCUGGUUUUAUGUGAUCAUGGACAGGAUGUGAAGAGUGACAUUUGGCACAAAAACAGAUAAGGAGCACCUGCUGUUUCAGUGACAAAGGCCAGGCUGCAAAGUUAGCAUCUCCUCCUGCACACAAUGGCUGCUAUUUCUCGCUCACUCUGUCGCUCUGUGAGUUCCCCACAUUGGGUUACGACAGGGAGGACUGCCACACAAACUGCCUCUCUUUUUUCUUUUCCUCUGUCUGUGCUUGAUGGGGUUAGUGACCUUAGGUAUUUGUAUGAAAUAGCCUGCACAAAGAUUGCACUGUUGCUCUGUUUCCCCCUCACUUUAUGUGAUUUCCAGUUUAAGGUCAACAGCAGGCAGCACUUAGAAUACCACACAAAGACGCUGCUGUUGUCUGUAUGUCUUUGUUUUUUGUUUUUUAUAAUGUGUUUUCCAUUAAGUUUGCAUAAUUGUAUGAAUAAUAUGAAGGGACUCUUGUUCUUUCUUGCUGCUUUUCCUUUUUUCCCCUCUUACAUUGACAGAGCUGUUCCUCCUCUUUCUCUCACUCCUGUUUAUGUGUUCUCUGGUGCAUGAAACGAUUUGAGCAUCUAUAAAAGAGCUGCAGCUUUGUCUUUGUCACUUUCUGUCAUUAAAGUGUCCACUAGUGCCUGUGUUAUUAGUCUAACAGCCAUAAAAGUAGGAUGGACAAGACGUCUGGGCUUCUGUACUUUCAGUUACAAACUUCAUUGAGUGGAGUCUGUUUCAGAAAUGUUUAUAGGUGGAGGUAGGUGUAGUUUUCAUGGAGAUCCAGGUUUAUAUAUAAUUGUGGCUUUUCACACACUCGGUUUCACACACACACAGAUAAUGCCACAUUUGUCCCAACUAUUUACCUCUGUCCCUAUCAGUAGUGGAAAGACUCUGGUUGCCUGGGUUACGUGAUAUUCUGGGAUGUUGUCCCACAGAGUGUAAAUAUAGAUGCCACACCCUCUGCCUGAAAUGCACGCAUACACACACGCAUAUGCACACACACACGCACACACACACACAGGCGUGAGCAGUCUAUCACUGUCCAAAGCAUCUAAAUAGAAAUAUCUCCUGUCCUCACAGCGUGACAUCACACCCAAAUGAAUGACAGCUUUUUAAAGUUUUUCACAAUGUAGACUUUAUCUCUUCCAAAGGUCGAUAUUUUGAGGUAGUUUAGUAAAACGAUUUUGUUAUGGCCUUUCAAGUUCAGGAUUUGUGUGACUGAGGGCACUCCUUAAGACUCCCACACAUGUGCUCUGUGACUUUAUUUUACCCGCCGGACAAGAUUGUUUUCCGAAAGCCCUGAGAAUUUAAUCCCAGACAGCUGAGCUCCUCUUGAAGCAAUUUUCAGCACCCA